GGAAGAGAGAAAGAAAGGUAGAAAGAAAGAGGGAGAAAGCGAGGAGUAAACUGGAACCGCUUUGAAUGGAAACUGGUGUCUCAGAAAUCUCUCAGCGUGUUUCCAAGAGGCAACCACCUGAAAGGUAAUCAUUCAACCUCAAAAUACAACAUGGCUGCUUUCCAAGAAAAAGUUAGAAAGCAUGAAAAAGAAUGAGAGGAAAAAGUAAAUGAAAAAGGGAACAAGAAAAAAGGAGCAUGAAAGAAAAGGAGAGUCAGUGAAAUAAGAUCAGCACUGAACCCCAAGUUUCAGGCCUUGUGACUAAUAGUAGAAAGAAUUAUUAUCAUUAUUAGAUCAUGAAAACUCUCAGCUUUAUU
rnacentral:lncRNA from 1 species